rnacentral:rRNA from 1 species
UACGAAGGGGGCUAGCGUUGUUCGGAAUCACUGGGCGUAAAGCGCACGUAGGCGGAUCGUUAAGUCGGGGGUGAAAUCCCAGGGCUCAACCCUGGAACUGCCUUCGAUACUGGCGAUCUUCGAGUCCGGGAGAGGUGAGUGGAACUCCGAGUGUAGAGGUGAAAUUCGUAGAUAUUCGCAAGAACACCAGUGGCGAAGGCGGCUCACUGGCCCGGUACUGACGCUGAGGUGCGAAAGCGUGGGGAGCAAACAGG